GGCCCGCGGGCGGUCCGGGGAGAGAGUCUCACCUUGAGGACGGUGAGAGGAAAACUCGGAGUAGCGCACUGGGAUAUGAGACACCUCAGCUGUGCCCUGCCAGUGCCUUGCGGAGCGGCACAGGGCUGUCUGGUGCGGUCUGCUCCUGGCUGUUUUAAAGUUCGGUGCAAAAGACAUACUAAGACUCGUUUUGAGGCUUUAGAAUGCAGGCACUCUUUAUUCAGCGCUGGGUGCACGGGGGAUCGCUCCACCUAGCGUGUCAAACUCCAAAACGAGUCUUAGAGAGUGUUUCUUUUGCACCGAAUUUUAGGUAACGUUUUAGCGACCCAGAUGGGACAAGUGCUUCUGUCCUCGGCGGAUCCUGGGAUCGCAGGACGUCCAGCCGGCACCGAGCACUUCCUCGGGAAGAACCCUGAUCCCCGGAGCUGAGCGCUCGAAGUAAGACCCCUGGAAUCUCUCAGGAAACAGAAGAUGCAAUAAUCCCAAUUGUGUGGGCUGGAGAAAUACCUGGGAGAUUGAGACGUGCCAAACUGUUAAGAGUUGAGCUUAAACCAGGACCAAUACAGCCCAGCUGAUAGAAGGGGUAUCUGAGCAUGACUGUCUACAGACUGUUGAAGAAGCCUGUUCCAGUCGUCCAGACUUGAAGGAUGUUCCAUUAGGAAAACUAGACUAGGAACUGUGUAACGUAAGAAGGACAUGGAGCUGUUGGAACAAGUCCAGAGGAGGGCCACGAGGAUAUAAGGGGGCUGGAGCACCUCCCGUAUGAUGACAGGCUGAGAAAAUUUGGGCUGAUCAGCCUGGAAAAGAGAAGCUGCGUGGAGACCUCAGAGCAGCCUUCCAAUAUCUGAAGGGAGCCUACAAGGAUGCUGGAGAGGGAUUCUUCAUCGGGGAUUGUAGUGAGAGGACAAGGGGUAAUGGGUUCAAACUAAAUCAGGGGAAGUUUAGAUUAGAUAUAAGGAAGAAGUUCUUUACAGCGAGGGUGGUGAGGCACUGGAAUGGGUUGCCCAAGGAACUUGUGAAUGCUCCAUCCCUGGCAGUGUUCAAGGCCAGGCUGGACAGAGCCUUGGGUGACAUGAUCUAGUGUAAGGAGUCCCUGCCCAUGGCAGGGAGGUUGGCACUAGAUGAUCUUAAGGUCCUUUCCAACCCUUACUAUUCUAUGAUUCUAUAUACAGAUGGUAGUAUUUUUAUGUGAGAAGGGAAGUGUAUGUUGGGCUGUGCAGUGAUUGCUGCUAAGGGUGUAAUAUAGGUGAAGGCUCUACCCCCAAACACAUCAGCACAAAAGACAGAGCUGAUAGCUCUCACCCGUACCUUGGAAUUGAGCAAAGGAAAAGAUGCCAGUAUUUUGAUGGACUCUAAAUAUGCCUUUGGAGUUCAUGGCCAUGGAGGAAUAUGGAAAGAAUUCAGGUCAAAGAUGCUGACCACAUUAUGAAGCUAUUAGACAGUGUCGGACUUCCUAGAAGAAUAGCUAUUAUGCACUGUAAAGCCCAUCAAUUGCGAAGAACCAUUCAAGAUCAGGGAAACAGAUGAGCUGAUUUAGCGGCAAAAGCGGCUGUAGAAAAAGGCAUUGAAAUGGAAGGUGAAAUGUUAGCUCUAAUGCAGGAAAAGAGACUUGUUUUAACUGAAAACCCCAAAUAUGACCUUCAAGACCGAAAACUAAUUGACACUUUACUAGCACAAAACCAGGAAAAGGGAUGGGCGGUGACCCCUAGUGGACAAAGAGUGUAGUACCUUACUUUCUGAUCAGAAAAAUAGUGAAAGAGGAACAUGUUAAAGUACACCGGGGAUUUGAAAAUUGAUUGAAACACCUACGGCAAAGUGUUAUUAGCCAAAAUAUGAUAGAAGUUGUGAGAUGUGCUACAGGAAGAUACGAAAUUUGUAGUAAAAAUAAUCCUAAAACUCAGAAUAAAAUUUUAUUAGGGACCAAUAAACAAGGUAAUUUACCUGGAGAGUACUGGCAAUUAGAUUUUACUGAACUGCCAAGAAAAGAGGGGUGGAAAUAUUGGCUUGUUUUAAUAGACACAUGUAUUGGCUGGCCAGAAGCCUUCCCAUGCACACUAACAGAGCGAGAGAAGUGGUAAAAUGCUAUUAAAAGAAAUGAUUCCAUGAUUUGAAAUUCCUUUGGGAAUGUCAUCAGGUAGGGGCUCGCAUUUUAUAGCGGAAGUGGUUCAACAAAUGAGUAAACUAUUGGGAAUUUCUUGGGAUUUGCCUACACCUUAUAGACCUCAGUUGAGUGGAAUGGUAAAAAGAUAACACAAAACUCAGUUGGGAAAAAUAUGUCAGGAAACACCUAUGACUUGGGUACAGGCUCUGCUUCUUGCUUUGGCGAGAAUGAGGGUACAAUCUAGAAGAAAAUAUCAUCUCCAUCCUUCGAAAAUUUUAUAUGGACAACCAUAUCAAAUACCUGGCCUACCUGGAGACAUGCAUGUGAAAGGGGAAAGUGAUGUGAUUAAAUAUUUGGUGACUUUGGGAAAAAUUAUAUUGGAAAUUAACAAACGAGUUGUCGUAAACAGAUCGCUAAAUUUGGAUUCUCCAGCUCAUCCAUUCCAGCCUAGAAACUGGGUCUAUGUAAAAUCUUGGAACUCGGAGCCUUUGAUGGAAAAGUGGAAAGGCCCCUUCCAAGUUCCCUUGAUCAUGUACGCUGCAGUACAGGUGGAAGGAAAAGGACCCUGGAUCCACUAUUCAUGAGUUAAGAAGGCUCCACAAUCUUGAGAGAUUAAACAACAAUCGUCUUUAAAAUUCAAAUUAGACAAAGUGUCUAAAAGAAUAAUGUUCCUGAUAAGUUUGGCAACUAUGGAGCUAACUGGUAACGGAUGGGAUUGAAAUAUAUACUUAUCUCUAAUCCAAAGUAUUACCCAAAUCCUGCACAAAAAUGAUUGUUGGAUUUGCACCCAAUGCCUAGGGAUUCUAGUCAAAGGUUAUCCUUAAUAGGAAUCCCACUUGCACUUAAUGUCUCUCGGACAAAUAGAAAAGAUCCAGUCUCAAAGUGGGAAACGUAAUGGAAAAAACCAAUUACAUUAGAAGAAAAUAGUACAUGGACCUGUUUAGUAAGUUCAAGAAACGGUAUCUUUGUGGGAAAACUCUCAUGUUGUAAUGAGACGCUCUCUUAACAUGACAAACAUAGACCCUGAAUUCCAAUGACUGAAUUACACUGGUCUUCCAGUUCUGGCAGGAAUAGGAUGGUAUUGGCUAUGUGGCACAACUGCUCAGAAAAUAUUACCCCCAGGAUGGAGAGGAGCAUGUACCCUUGGAACUUGAGUUGCUAACAUCACAAUUAUUGACAGACCAUAUCCACAAAGAGGACAGACAGGAACUGCCCUUGGAUGAGUAGAAAGGGCUCAUGAUGCUAUAGCUGACAGACCCUAUGGGUUUCACAAUUUUAUGAGAUGGUUCUUCCCAUGGCUUGGGGUAAGUGAAUUAGAGAAAACCAUAAUAAACAUUUCAACAGUAAUAGAAAACAUUGAAAAUAAAACCAUUUAUGCCAUAUAGGCUCUGCAAAUUGAAGUAUGCAGCCUGUCAAAAGUAGCGAUCCAAAAUAGCAUGGCCCUUGAUUUGUUACUGGCUUCAGGAGGCGGUGUUUGUACAAUCAUAAAUAUAGCUGUUGCAUGUAUAUUGAUCAAAGUGGCAGAAUUACUACGGAUUUGGGAGAGAUCUGGGAACACACUAAAAGUUUACAUGAAGUUACAAGAGAUUACACUUCUUGGGGAUUCCAAGAAAUAUGACAUAAACUUACCUCUUGGCUGCCAAAUUUGUCCUAGUUAAAAAACUUGUUGGAAUAAUCUUGAUUUUUAUAAUUUGUAUCCUUGCCUGGAGGAUGAUACAAUAUUGUAGCUGUUUCAGUCAAAUAUGUUUUAAAAUUAGGUACAAAGGUUUAAUAUGAUGGUCUCUGAUGAAGAUCAAAAACUCUCAUAAGAAAAGGGGGGACUUGAUACCUUGAAUUAUUUGUAAAAGACUCGAUUCUGAGUAUGUAGUUUCUGUAAAUAAUCAACCUAGAGGCAAGGUCUUGUUUCAAAACAUGUGCGAUAAAGAAUGAUGAGUCAACAUUCUGAAGAACAAAACAGGAAAGUUCAGAAGAACCUGGUGUCCACAUCAGGAACUGUAACCAGUUCAGACAGGUAGUCUGCAAGCAACUACCAUGACAAGUUACACAACAUGUCUAAACAGCGCGUGCUCAUCAUCAGAGCUGAACUGACGGACACUGUGUACAGACCCUAAAAGACCACCAGAGCCCCUCGAAGGACCCCAGCCUCAAUUAAUUGCACAUGCGGAAUGAGAAUGUAAAUAUUUUAGUUAGUUCUCGGCAGAGACUGCCUCUUUCCAAGACGUGUUGCAUGUGCAUGUUUUUGUGCAAUAAAAGGAGUGAAUUUUGUAUAACUCAGUGGACACACUAGGUAGAGCGAUUCCCCAUGUCCCCAGCACUGAAUAAAGAAUGCUUGCUUUCUAAAACUCCAAAA